rnacentral:rRNA from 1 species
UACGGAGGGUGCAAGCGUUAUCCGGAUUCACUGGGCGUAAAGGGCGCGUAGGUGGCCCCUUAAGUGUGUGGUGAAAGCCCGGGGCUCAACCCCGGGUCGGCCAUGCAAACUGGGGGGCUUGAGCAUUGUAGAGGCAGGCGGAAUUCCGGGUGUAGCGGUGGAAUGCGUAGAGAUCCGGAAGAACACCGGUGGCGAAGGCGGCCUGCUGGGCAAUUGCUGACACUGAGGCGCGACAGCGUGGGGAGCAAACAGG